rnacentral:rRNA from 1 species
GAUGAACGCUGGCGGCGUGCUUAAUACAUGCAAGUCGAACGGAAAGGCCAUGAGCUUGUGGGGUGCACGUGAGGCGCAGAGGUGAGUGUAACGCGUGUAAAAUGUACUUGUAAGUCGGAUAAAUCUAGGGAAAUGGGGCUCAUAUCGGAUAGGAGAUCCUGCAGCAUAGGGGGGGUUGGAAAGAUUCGGCGGUUGGGGAUGGAAGAGAGGCUUAUCAGCUUGUUGGUGGGGUAGUGGCUUACCAAGGCUUUGACGGGUAGCCGGCCUGAGAGGGUGAACAGCCACAUGAGGACUGAGGGACGCCCCAGACGCCAACCGGCGGCAGUAGUGGGGAAUAUUGCGCAACAGGCGGACGCCUGAUGCAGCGACGCCCCGUGCGGAAAGACGUCCUUCGGGUUGUAAACAGCUUUGGCCUUUGACGUAGCGUGAGUGACGGUAAUUAGUAAAGAAGCACCGGCUAACUACGUG